CCAACAGAUGCGCUCUUACUCAAACCUUUCUAGGAGUAGAAUAGGUCGGUCGAUGAUGCGCUUCGGACACGCGGAACGAAGAUCUCACCUCGGCUGCCAGGCAGCCUUUACUUUCAUUGCGCCUUUGGGUUUCGGUCACCCCAAGACUUGCGCACAUGUUAGACUCCUUGGUCCGUGUUUCAAGACGGGUCAGAUGAAGCCAUAUGGCCGCCAACAACCUAGGUGCAUAGUGUGCGCGAUCCUCCCGAAUGACCAACAGCAGUUCAGACGCACUGCAAGCAGUCCGCCAUGCUCGACAAUCGAUCAAGAGAAGGACGCCAGCCCCCUAGAGAGCAUGCACCGUUCGCCUCUGCCAAACUCGAACUGGGAAUGCCACGGGCUAUAACAACGCAAGUCCGAAGACACACGCCUACCUUCCCGAGCACCGUAUCGCUCAAGUCAAGCAGCUGUUGACGCGCUUCGACGAGAAGUGCGACGAGCACAAGACCAAGCCAAGCAGCGACAGUCCAUUCGGAUCCACACACUGCCCGUCCAGCCAGGUGACCGCCUGAAUCUCGCCGAAGCAUUGCUAACUGCAUCCGUUUCCCCACUAACGGUUUCACGCACUUUUUAACUCUCUUWAUCAAAGUUCUUUUC
rnacentral:rRNA from 1 species